UCNCUCUGUAGACCAGGCUGGCCUCGAGC
rnacentral:piRNA from 1 species